UCGGCUGUUCGCCGAUUAAAGUGGUACGUGAGCUGGGUUUAGAACGUCGUGAGACAGUUCGGUCCCUAUCUGCCGUGGGUGUUGGAGACUUGAGAGGAUCUGUCCCUAGUACGAGAGGACCGGGAUGGACGUACCUCUGGUGUAUCGGUUGUCACGCCAGUGGCAUAGCCGAGUAGCUAAGUGCGGACGGGAUAACCGCUGAAAGCAUCUAAGCGGGAAACCCACCUCAAAACGAGGUCUCCCUGAGGGUCGUGAUAGACCAUCACGUCGAUAGGCCGGGUGUGUAAGAGUGGUAACACUCUCAGCUAACCGGUACUAAUCACCCGAUAGAGCUCUAAA
rnacentral:rRNA from 1 species